UUCCCCGUCGAUUAGAGUGCUAUCAAACAAGAAAGUUUACUCUUGGACUUAGAAUUAGUGUGAAGUAUCAUACGUAAUAUAUACAAGCACAUACAUAUAUCUAUGUAUGUAUGUAUGUAUGUAUGUAUAAGAAGGUUUCGAUCGUUUUGAAACAAAACGGAGGUUCUAACGGCAGGCGUAGAAUAAUUAGCGGUCGAAGAGCCAACAUGGCGCAGCGACGGAUUUUACCGUCUUCCGAUUCGUACUCCCACGUUUUGUCCUAAUUAAUAUAGGUUAUUAAUCGCCAAGCGAUCUGUUACGGAAAGUUUCUGCGCAGCUGCGGUUCGGAUAAUUGCCGCAGUUUGCGUCUGAUGGUAGUGGUGUUGGUGGUGAUGGUGGUGAUGGUGAUGGUGGUGAUGGUGGUAGUAUUAGUAAAGAGAAAGAGAAUCGAGAGGGAUGAGAAAAUGACUAGCAAUGUUGGUAGGAUAAAGGGGAAGAUAGUUGAUUCACCCUUUAGCAUAGCACGACUAUCGUUUGAGAAAAGAAAGCUGAAAAAUGUCACAAUCGGCCAAGUCGAUUCCUGAAAGUAAUGGCUUUUGAAUCAAUUUUCAUAUAGAUGAUGCAUAGCCACGAGACGAUGAGGACGCAUUUUCCCUACCCAACCGGUAGUCAACCGCUUUUAAACGAACGUUCGUCUUAUCCUUAUAGUCGUUUCUAAUGACAAAGAUCAAGGCCAUUACGUUAGA